AGACGGGGGUUUCACCAUGUUGGCCGGGCUGGUUUCGAACUCCUGACCUCGUGAUCCACCCGCCUCGGCCUCCCAAAGGGCUGGAAGUACAGCGGGAGCCACUGCGCCCAGCCAGCUGUCUUUAUUUCUCUCUA
rnacentral:antisense_RNA from 1 species